GACGAACGCUGGCGGCGCGCCUAACACAUGCAAGUCGAACGAGCGAGAGGAGGUUUACUUUCUCAAGCGAGUGGCGAACGGGUGAGUAACGCGUGAGGAACCUGCCUCAAAGGGGGGGACAACAGUUGGAAACGACUGCUAAUACCGCAUAAGCCCACGACCCCGCAUCGGGUAGAGGGAAAAGGAGCAAUCCGCUUUGGGAUGGCCUCGCGUCCGAUUAGCUAGUUUGUGAGGUAAUGGCCCACCAAGGGGACGAUCGGUAGCCGGACUGAGAGGUUGAACGGCCACAUUGGGACUGAGACACGGCCCAGACUACUACGGGAGGCAGCAGUGGGGAAUAUUGCACAAUGGGGGAAACCCUGAUGCAGCGACGCCGCGUGGAGGAAGAAGGUCUUCGGAUUGUAAACUCCUGUUGUUGAGGAAGAUAAUGACGGUACUCAACAAGGAAGUGACGGCUAACUACGUG
rnacentral:rRNA from 1 species